GCCGACGUAGCUCAACGGUAGAGCAAUCGCCUUGUAAGCGAUAGGUUGUGGGUUCGAUUCCCUCCGUCGGCUCCA
rnacentral:tRNA from 2 species